GAUAAACGCUGGCGGCGUGCCUAAUGCAUGCAAGUCGCACGGGGAUGCUUUUGGGCAUUCGAGUGGCGAACGGGUGAGGAACACGUGGCCGACCUACCCUGGUGUGGGGGAUACCCCGUGGAAACACGGGCUAAUACCGCGUACGGUUCUCCGGGGGUAGCCUGGGGAAAGAAAGCCGAGAGGCGCACUGGGAGGGGGCUGCGGCCGAUUAGCUGGUUGGUGGGGUAACGGCUCACCAAGGCGAUGAUCGGUAGCGGGUCUGAGAGGAUGAUCCGCC
rnacentral:rRNA from 1 species